rnacentral:rRNA from 1 species
GACGUAGGGCGCGAGCGUUGUCCGGAUUUAUUGGGCGUAAAGAGCUCGUAGGCGGCUCGUUGCGUCGGCUGUGAAAACCCGCAGCUCAACUGUGGGCUUGCAGCUGAUACGGGCGGGCUGGGAUUCGGUAGGGGAGACUGGAAUUCCUGGUGUAGCGGUGAAAUGCGCAGAUAUCAGGAGGAACACCGGUGGCGAAGGCGGGUCUCUGGGCCGAUAUCGACGCUGAGGAGCGAAGGCGUGGGGAGCGAACAGG